rnacentral:lncRNA from 1 species
GUUCAAAACAGGAAAAAUUAUAUUAAAAAUGAAAAUUACGUUAAAUAAGAUUUCUACAAUGAAAUAAACACAACUGCUCUAGCAAACAACUUUAUCAAGAAUUUAAAAAUAGAAAAGAUGUUAUUCAUAUCCAUUUCACCACGUUCCUGUUACGACCGCGAAAAAAAUAAAAUUAAUAAAAUAAGAACUCAAACUAUAACAUAAUAGACAAGUUCUAUUUAUAGUAUUGAUAAAAUUUAGCAUACCUAACACAUGAAACCUGAAAACAUCUCCUCUCGUAAAUACUAUAUACAAAGCAUUAAAAUGAGCCCCUUUUUUUUUUUACUUACACGAUUUGAAGAUUUGUUAAGCUGCUGAUGCUUGAUAAUUUGAAAAUCUAUUCUUGCCCCGUAAUAUGUAAACAUUAAGAAAAAAACCCAAAAAAUAAAAAUUCAGUCUACAUAAAUACAUAUUUCAAUUCCCCAACGACAAACAAAGUAGAAUACAAAACUCAAAACUUAGAAGCCAAAAUUGAACAAAAAAUUUAUACAAAAACAAUUAGAAAAAUUAAAUCCUCAAACAUUUCAAAUUUGCGAACUACAGUACACGUCUAAAGAUAAAUAGAUAUACUUCUUUUUCAAUAGCACAGAAAUAUGAAAUAGGCACAUUCUUGCAUAAGUUGCUAUGCCACAACAACAUAAAAGUCAUUUAAACCACAUUUUAACAGAUGCAAUAAAACCAAACAAUCCAGACCAAGAACAAUACAGAAUUUAUAGGUUCACUACAACAAUAUAUAAAACAUAUCUUUUUAUGUAAAUAAAUUGGUGAGUUAAAAAAAUUCAAAGGGUAUGUUGAUUCUCAAUUACUUACAU